rnacentral:rRNA from 1 species
AUGUCGUACUCAGCUGUGGAGUUAGUAUGCUGGAAUGUACGUGGCCUUAAUAGUCCAGCUAGGAGGGAUGCUUUGAGGGAGUUAGCUGAUUCUAUGCAUGUUUCGAUCUGGUGCAUCCUAGAGACUAAACUAGAGCAUGUAGACCAAUUUGUGAUUAUGCAAUGUUUAGGGCCAUCUUACGAUGGUUUUGCGUACUUGCCGGCUUCGACCACUCGUGGUGGCAUCAUCAUUGCUUGGAACUCUUCCAAAGCGAUUGUUUCUAACACGGUUCGCGACACUAACUUCAUCACGGGAUAUGUCGCACCGAGGGAAGGAGCUUCUUGGUGGCUUUCGAUGGUGUAUGGGCCUCAAGAGGACCCGCAAAAGGUCGUGUUUUUACAAGAAUUUUCGGACAGGAGGGCACUCUGUCCGGGACCUUGGAUGGCGAUAGGCGACUUCAAUCUCAUUCUCCAUGCGGCUGAAAAGAACAACAAUCUUCUAGAUAGAAGGAUGAUGGGGAGAUUUAAACGGUUUGUGGAUGACAAUGCUCUCAAAGAGCUAUUCCUCCAUGGCAGGCGGUUCACGUGGAGCAAUGAAAGGAGCGCUCCUACGAUGACGAGAAUCGAUCGAGCUUUCGUUUCGAUAGACUGGGAAUUAGAGUACCCGGAGUGCUUGCUGCAGGCCCUAUCCACUGGAAUCUCGGAUCACUGUCCCCUCUACCUCUCUAUGGAAGAUCACUUGCAGCGCGCAGGCGUUUCAGAUUUGAGCUUUUUUGGGUGA